rnacentral:snRNA from 1 species
GUACUCGCUUCGGCGGUACAUAUACUAAAAUUGGAACGAUACAGAGAAGAUUAGCAUGGCCCCUGCGCAAGGAUGACACGCAAAAUCGUGAAACGUUCCACAUUUAA